rnacentral:piRNA from 1 species
UAUUAGGAAAGUGGACAUUGUGCAGGAC